GACGAACGCUGGCGGCGUGCUUAACACAUGCAAGUCGAACGGAAAGGCCCUGCUUUUGUGGGGUGCUCGAGUGGCGAACGGGUGAGUAACACGUGAGUAACCUGCCCUUGACUUUGGGAGAACUUCAGGAAACUGGGGCGAAUACCGGAUAGGAGCUCCUGCUGCAUGGUGGGGGUUGGAAAGUUUCGGCGGUUGGGGAUGGACGCGCGGCUGAUCAGCUGGUGGGUGGGGUAGUGGGUUACCAAGGCGUGGACGGGUAGCCGGCCUGGGAGGGGGACCGGCCACAUUGGGACUGCGGUACGGCCCAGACUCGAACGGGAGGCAGCGGUGGGAAAUAUUACGCAACGGGCGGGAGUCUGAUGCAGAGACGCCGCGUGCGGGAUGACGGCCUUCGGGUUGUAAACCGCUUCCGCCGGUGACGAAGCGUGAGUGACGGUAAUGGAUAAAGAAGCCACGGCUAACUACGUG
rnacentral:rRNA from 1 species